CACGAGAUCCGAAGGCAGCUUUCCAAAAGUUCACUGAUCCAGGAGGUGGUGGCGGCAGAUAAAUAUUUCCCAAAUUGCACACUUUAACAGGCAAAUGUCUCAGAGUCCACGUGGAAGGUCAGUGUUUGGGGAAAGACUGUAAUUAUAAUGAGGUCACAGAGUCCCAGAUUAGAGUCAGAAGGGCCAGCAAAGUCCGUUCCUCGAGGCCUGUAGGGACAGGCCAGUUGAUGAUGGGCCUGGGAGCAGGGGGCGGGUCUCUGGGCUCUGGUCGCAGGCUCUCUGGAGUCUGGGUACCAAACCUGCCGAGGCAGGAUCCGAAGACUUAGCAGAGUCCUCGGAUCCCAGGACUCAGCAAGUCAGCCUAGGAUGGAGACGUGUCUGCCUGCGUUUCAGAGGCCUGACCCGCUGCCAGCACCCUUUCGACUCCGGGAUCUGUUAUCACCUCGCUGUGGCCAAUCCCUUUGUAUUUCCUAUGAAGUGGAGCCAGAAGCCAUCAGCCCUGGAGGGACACGAGCACCUCUUCCCCCCCAACCUGCAGGUGAGCAGUUCAAAUCCUGCCAGAGAACCUCAAAAGGGAGACUGCGCGGGGUGGCGGCGGGGGGUCGGGGGGGCUUCACCCGGUGGCUCAGUGGGUAGAGUCUGCCUGCCCGUGCAGAGGACACGGGUUUGAGCCCUGGUCCAGGAAGAUGCCACACGCCGCAGAGCAGCUCAGCCCAUGUGCCCCAGCUACCGCAGCCCGCGCUCCCCAGAGCCCCACUCAACGACGAGGGCAGCCUCCACGGCGAGAAGCCACAACCAGAGAGGAGCCCCACCGGCCACAGCUAAAGAAAGCCGCGCCCAGCACAGCCAAGACACAGACCCAGCACAGCCAAGACAAAACAGUUCUUAUUUAAGGGAGACGUGUUCCUGAGCACCAGGGUCAACAGGCCCCACCGCUGCUGGAGCCCGUGCUCCGAAUGUCCCUUCAGCUCGCUCUGCACCACCCGUCUCCAGGCUCACCCCUCCCGAGGGGACGGCUCUCAGGCCUCCCUCCAGCCACGGUCCUGCCUUCCCCCCGGGCCCAGGAGGCCUGCAACCCUCCCCUGCCUGCCGCCUCCGCCGCCAGCUUGGCAGUCUCUCCUCACCACCACCCAAGGCACGUCUAGCGCCUUCAGCUCCAAUCACGCAGCAACCGCACCAAAGAGACUACCGUCCUGCCUCUAGAGAACCUUUGAACCAACCGCGUCUCCCCCCCACGCCAGGACGUUUCAUCCAAGGCACAGUCAUCGCUCGUCCGACCGGUUAACGGCCCCCUGCUCCCCCAGCUGCUGGGCUACAGUCUGUUCUCCACACGGCGGCCUGGUGACCACAGCCUGGAGCGAAAUCCUCCUCUGCCUGAAACCUUCGGGCGGGCCCCAGAGGCCAACAGGUCAGCGCUGUCCGACGGAAAUGUCUGUGGUCGUGGAAGUGAUCCAGGCGUGUUUUUGGCCUCGCCAUGUGGGGUCUUCGUCCCCCGACAGGUGGCGGAACCAGAGCCCCUGGCAAUGCAAGCAUGCGGUCUUAACCCCUGGGCCGCCGGGGAGACCCCGUGGACGUGAUCCCACUGUUAACACAGGAGACACCAUCAGUGCUACGUGUGGGAGGUGAGCGCUGAAAA
rnacentral:lncRNA from 1 species